UACAGAGACCUCAAGAGUUAUCCGGAUUUAUUGGGCGUAAAGCGCGUGUAGGCGGACUUAUUAGUCAGAUGUCAAAUCUCCGAGCUCAACUCGGAAACUGCAUUUGAAACGGUAAGUCUGGAGAGAGCGAGAGACCAAUGGAACGUAUGGUGUAGCAGUGAAAUGCGUUGAUAUCAUACGGAACACCAAAGGCGAAGGCAUUUGGUUGGCGCUCAUCUGACGCUGAGACGCGAAAGCGUGUAUAGCGAAGGGG
rnacentral:rRNA from 1 species